rnacentral:misc_RNA from 1 species
GAUGAAGACCGUAGCGAAAUGCGAUACUUGGUGUGAAUUGCAGAAUCCCGUGAACCAUCGAGUCUUUGAACGCAAGUUGCGCCUCAAGCCAUUAGGUUGAGGGCACGUCUGCCUGGGCGUCACAUAUCGUUGCCUGAUGCCAGUUUCCUCGUGAUGGGUGACUGUGCAGGGCGAAUGAUGGCUUCCCGUGAGCAUUGUUGCCUCAUGGUUGGUUGAAAAUUGAGUCCUUGGUAGGGAGCGCCGUGAUAGAUGGUGGUUGAGUGACGAACGAGACCCAAUCAUGUGAGACCCCUACCGAAUUUGGCCUUCAUGACCCACAUGCGUCUUUGGAACGCUCAUGACGAGACCUCAGGUCAGGCGGGGCUACCCGCUGAGUUUAAGCAUAUCAAUAAGCGGAGGA